GACGAACGCUGGCGGCGUGCUUAACACAUGCAAGUCGAACGGAAAGGCCCUGCUUUUGUGGGGUGCUCGAGUGGCGAACGGGUGAGUAACACGUGAGUAACCUGCCCUUGACUUUGGGAUAACUUCAGGAAACUGGGGCUAAUACCGGAUAGGAGCUCCUGCUGCAUGGUGGGGGUUGGAAAGUUUCGGCGGUUGGGGAUGGACUCGCGGCUUAUCAGCUUGUUGGUGGGGUAGUGGCUUACCAAGGCUUUGACGGGUAGCCGGCCUGGGAGGGUGACCGGCCACAUUGGGACUGAGACACGGACCAGACUCCUACGGGAGGCAGCAGCGGGGAAUAUGGCACAAUGGGCGGAAGCCUGAUGCAGCAACGCCGCGUGCGGGAUGACGGCCUUCGGGUUGUAAACCGCUUUCGCCUGUGACGAAGCGUGAGUGACGGUAAUGGGUAAAGAAGCACCGGCUAACUACGUG
rnacentral:rRNA from 1 species